rnacentral:lncRNA from 1 species
GGGGCCUGCUAAGUGAGCCCUGCGUGGCCACUGCGGCCCCGGCCCAGGAGGCCUGGAGCACAGGGCUGCCCGCAUAGACAUGCCCACUGCCCAGGCUGACACAGGCUCCAGGAAUGCAAACAAAGGUGGUGAGCACCUGACCCACGCUGAGCCAGUCGGUGCCUUCUGCAGAGAAUUUGGAAUCAGAACCUAAAGACUUCAGGAACGGCCCACUGUCUUCACAUCUGGAGGCCACGACAGGCUGGGAGCUGUUUUCCACUGCUGACCCGAGUUGCAGACAGAGCCAGCACCUGGCGGCAAGGUAGGAGGGAGGGGGCCUGGCUGGGCACCCAUGGGACUCUG